AACGAACGCUGGCGGCAUGCCUAACACAUGCAAGUCGAACGAGGCCUUCGGGUCUAGUGGCGCACGGGUGCGUAACGCGUGGGAACCUGCCCUUAGGUUCGGAAUAACUCCCCGAAAGGGGUGCUAAUACCGGAUAAUGUCUUCGGACCAAAGAUUUAUCGCCUUUGGAUGGGCCCGCGUUGGAUUAGCUAGUUGGUAGGGUAAAAGCCUACCAAGGCGACGAUCCAUAGCUGGUCUGAGAGGAUGAUCAGCCACACUGGGACUGAGACACGGCCCAGACUCCUACGGGAGGCAGCAGUGGGGAAUAUUGGACAAUGGGCGAAAGCCUGAUCCAGCAAUGCCGCGUGAGUGAUGAAGGCCUUAGGGCUGUAAAGCUCUUUUACCCGGGAUGAUAAUGACAGUACCGGGAGAAUAAGCUCCGGCUAACUCCGUG
rnacentral:rRNA from 1 species